AUGUUGGUAAAGCAUUUACCUAAGUUAUGGAAACGCCAAACGAGGGAUUUGUUCCGGCGCCACAAGUCGCCCGACGGUAGGUGGAACGGUGGGUGCCUCAUCGAUCCCGGGACGGGCACGACGGCGAUAAUACAGCCCGUGUACCAUGUCCUGGAGCACGCCGUGGAGGAGCACGUCACGAGACUAGGGCUGCCGGUCGUGAAACGUGACGGGUACCGCCUUUGCUUCAGCGGUGCGACUCAGGCCGCCUUUGAGCACCUGCCGACGGUGACGCUUCGCUUCGAGGAGGGCGCGGGCCUCGUGAUCAGGCCGCAACAGCUCUUCGUCUUCGUUCAGCGCGACAUCUGCCUCGCCGUGGUGCCAAGCAAGCACAUGACCAUCAUCGGCGCGAUGCAGCAGGUGGACACGCGCUUCGUCUAUGACAUCGCAGCCGCCAAGAUCCACUUUGCCCCCGAGAGAUGCAGUGAUGAUACAGGGGGACAGAAUUGA
rnacentral:rRNA from 1 species